rnacentral:rRNA from 1 species
AACGAACGCUGGCGGCAGGCCUAACACAUGCAAGUCGAACGCCCUAGCAAUAGGGAGUGGCAGACGGGUGAGUAACGCGUGGGAACGUGCCCUUCGGUUCGGAAUAACUCAGGGAAACUUGAGCUAAUACCGGAUACGUGCGAGAGCAGAAAGAUUUAUCGCCGAAGGAUCGGCCCGCGUCCGAUUAGCUAGUUGGUGAGGUAAUGGCUCACCAAGGCGACGAUCGGUAGCUGGUCUGAGAGGAUGAUCAGCCACACUGGGACUGAGACACGGCCCAGAAUCCGACGGGAGGCAGCAGUGGGGAAUAUUGGACAAUGGGCGCAAGCCUGAUCCAGCCAUGCCGCGUGAGGGAUGACGGCCUUCGGGUUGUAAACCUCUUUCAGCAUCGACGAAGCGCAAGUGACGGUAGGUGCAGAAGAAGGACCGGCCAACUACGUGCCAGCAGCCGCGGUAA